GGAGUCUGGUCCGUGUCUCAGUACCAGUGUGGGGGACCUUCCUCUCAGAACCCCUACGCAUCGUCGCCUUGGUGGGCCGUUGCCCCGCCAACAAGCUAAUGCGCCGCAUGCCCAUCCCUGGACGAAGUUCUAUCACACGGCCGUCAUGCGGCAGCCGUGCAUACGGGGUAUUAGGCCGCGUUUCCGCGGGUUAUCCCCCAACCAGGGGCAGGUUGCAUACGUGUUACUCACCAGUGCGCCGGUCGCCGUCGGCAGUAUUGCUACCGCCACGCUGCCCCUCGACUUGCAUGUGUUAAGCCUGUCGCUAGCGUUCAUC
rnacentral:rRNA from 1 species